rnacentral:rRNA from 1 species
CGCCGCGUGCAGGACGAAGGUCUUCGGGAUGGUAAACUGCUUUUCUCUGGGAAGAGCGAGGACGGUACCAGAGGAAGAAGCCCCGGCUAACUACGUGCCAGCAGCCGCGGUAAUACGUAGGGGGCGAGCGUUGUCCGGAGUUACUGGGCGUAAAGGGCAUGUAGGCGGUCCGAUCAGUUUGGGGUUACAGCUCCCGGCUCAACUGGGAGAGCGCCUCGAAGACGGUAGGACUUGAGAGCCAGAGAGGGACACAGAAUUCCGGGUGUAGUGGUGAAAUGCGUAGAUAUCCGGAGGAAUACCAAAGGCGAAGGCAGUGUCCUGGCUGAUUUCUGACGCUGAGGUGCGAAAGCUAGGGGAGCGAACGGGAUUAGAUACCCCGGUAGUCCUAGCCGUAAACGAUGACCACUAGGUGUGCGGGGUAUCGACCCCCUGCGUGCCGCAGCUAACGUGAUAAGUGGUCCGCCUGGGGAGUACGGUCGCAAGAUUAAAACUCAAAGGAAUUGACG